rnacentral:rRNA from 1 species
AACGAACGCUGGCGGCAGGCCUAACACAUGCAAGUCGAACGCACCGCAAGGUGAGUGGCGCACGGGUGAUUAACACGUGGGAAUGUACCCUUGGGUUCGGAAUAAGGUUUGGAAACGAACGCUAAUACCGGUUGAACCCUACGGGGGAAAGAUUUAUCGCCAAAGGAGCAGCCCGCGUCUGAUUAGGUAGUUGGUGGGGUAAAGGCCUACCAAGCGGAGGAUCAGUAGCUGGGCUGCGAGGAUGAUAAGCCACCUUGGGACUGCGACACGGCCCAGACUCCUACGGGAGGCAGCAGGGGGGAAUAUUGGACAAUGGGCGCAAGCCUGAUCCAGCCAUGCCGCGUGAGUGAUGAAGGCCUUCGGGUUGUAAAGCUCUUUCGCACACGACGAUGAUGACGGUAGUGUGAGAAGAAGCCCCGGCUAACUUCGUGCCAGCCGCCGCCGUAAAAC